rnacentral:rRNA from 1 species
UACGUAGGGAGCGAGCGUUGUCCGAAGUUACUGGGCGUAAAGCGCACGUAGGCGGAUUUGUAAGUCAGGGGUGAAAUCCCGGGGCUCAACCUCGGAACUGCCUUUGAUACUGCAAAUCUCGAGUCCGAUAGAGGUGGGUGGAAUUCCUAGUGUAGAGGUGAAAUUCGUAGAUAUUAGGAAGAACACCGGUGGCGAAGGCGGCCCACUGGAUCGGUACUGACGCUGAGGUGCGAAAGCGUGGGGAGCAAACAGG